UACGGAGGGGGCUAGCGUUGUUCGGAAUUACUGGGCGUAAAGCGCGCGCAGGCGGCUAUCCAAGUCAGUGGUGAAAGCCCGGAGCUCAACUCCGGAACUGCCAUUGAAACUGUUUAGCUUGAGGACGAGAGAGGUGAGUGGAAUUCCCAGUGUAGAGGUGAAAUGCGUAGAUAUCGGGAGGAACACCAGUGGCGAAGGCGGCAUCCUGGCCUGUAACUGACGCUGAGACGCGAAAGCGUGGGGAGCGAACCGG
rnacentral:rRNA from 1 species